AGAGUUUGAUCAUGGCUCAGGACGAACGCUGGCGGCGUGCUUAACACAUGCAAGUCGAACGGAAAGGCCCGCUUGCGGGUACUCGAGUGGCGAACGGGUGAGUAACACGUGGGCAACCUGCCCUCAGCUCUGGGAUAACUCCGGGAAACCGGUGCUAAUACUGGAUAUCGACUUCUGCCUCGCAUGGGGUGUUGUUGAAAGUUUUUCGGCUGGGGAUGGGCCCGCGGCCUAUCAGCUUGUUGGUGGGGUGAUGGCCUACCAAGGCGACGACGGGUAGCCGGCCUGAGAGGGCGACCGGCCACACUGGGACUGAGACACGGCCCAGACUCCUACGGGAGGCAGCAGUGGGGAAUAUUGCGCAAUGGGCGGAAGCCUGACGCAGCGACGCCGCGUGAGGGAUGACGGCCUUCGGGUUGUAAACCCCUUUCAGCUCUGACGAAGCGAGAGUGACGGUAGGAGCAGAAGAAGCACCGGCCAACUACGUGCCAGCAGCCGCGGUAAUACGUAGGGUGCAAGCGUUGUCCGGAAUUAUUGGGCGUAAAGAGCUCGUAGGCGGUCUGUCGCGUCGAAUGUGAAAACCCGGGGCUCAACCCCGGGCCUGCAUUCGAUACGGGCAGACUAGAGUUCGGUAGGGGAGUCUGGAAUUCCUGGUGUAGCGGUGAAAUGCGCAGAUAUCAGGAGGAACACCGGUGGCGAAGGCGGGACUCUGGGCCGAUACUGACGCUGAGGAGCGAAAGCGUGGGGAGCAAACAGGAUUAGAUACCCUAGUAGUCC
rnacentral:rRNA from 1 species